UACGGAGGGGGCUAGCGUUGUUCGGAAUUACUGGGCGUAAAGCGCACGUAGGCGGCUUUGUAAGUUAGAGGUGAAAGCCCGGGGCUCAACUCCGGAAUUGCCUUUAAGACUGCAUCGCUAGAAUUGUGGAGAGGUAAGUGGAAUUCCGAGUGUAGAGGUGAAAUUCGUAGAUAUUCGGAAGAACACCAGUGGCGAAAGGCGACUU
rnacentral:rRNA from 1 species